rnacentral:rRNA from 1 species
GGGAAUAUUGCGCAAUGGGGGCAACCCUGACGCAGCAACGCCGCGUGAUUGAAGAAGGCCUACGGGUUGUAAAGAUCUUUAAUCGGGGACGAAUUUUGACGGUACCCGAAGAAUAAGCUCCGGCUAACUACGUGCCAGCAGCCGCGGUAAUACGUAGGGAGCAAGCGUUAUCCGGAUUUACUGGGUGUAAAGGGCGUGUAGGCGGGCAUGCAAGCCAGAAGUGAAAUCUGGGGGCUUAACCCCCAAACUGCUUUUGGAACUGCGUGUCUUGAGUGAUGGAGAGGCAGGCGGAAUUCCCAGUGUAGCGGUGAAAUGCGUAGAUAUUGGGAGGAACACCAGUGGCGAAGGCGGCCUGCUGGACAUUAACUGACGCUGAGGCGCGAAAGCGUGGGGAGCAAACAGGA